rnacentral:rRNA from 1 species
AACGUAGGAGACAAACGUUAUCCGGAGUUACUGGGCGGAAAGGGCGUGUAGGCGGUUAGUUAAGUCUGGCGUGAAAGCUCUCGGCUAAACCGGGAGAGGUCGUUGGAUACUGGCUGACUAGAGGACGGUAGAGGCGUGUGGAAUUCCGGGUGUAGUGGUGAAAUGCGUAGAGAUCCGGAGGAACACCAGUGGCGAAGGCGACACGCUGGGCCGUACCUGACGCUAAAGCGCGACAGCAUGGGGAGCAAACGGG